AAGUCGUAACAAGGUUUCCGUAGGUGAACCUGCGGAAGGAUCAUUACCUGGCCUUGGGCCGCUCGCGGGGGUGCGUCGCUUGCGACGACGCUCCCGGGGGCGCUUAGCCCUUGACUAUCACCUUGAUUAUGUGCACCUUUGUUGUUCCCUCGGCAGCUCGCUGCCGCCAGGGACCCCGAAACCCCCUUGCAUUAGCAUCAAACCUCUGAAAACAAACCUAAUUAUUUACAA
rnacentral:misc_RNA from 1 species